UGAAUGAUUUUCUUCUUCUUUCUUUGUUUUUUUUUUUUUAGUGAUCUUAAUGGAUGAAGAAAUUGCAGUGGAAAAAUGAAAAUCGAAAAGCAAGUUCAGCUUCUUGACUGGAUCGUUCUAUCGAUCCAGCCAAAAUUUUACUCAAAACCUUGCGAAAUCUAAUUCGCCUACAUCACUCGUCUGAGUUUCUUGAUUCUGGAUCCUCAGGCCCCUUAAUUGCUGGUACAUUGCCAAAUUUCACUGGUUCUGCUGCUUUCUGUCCCUAUUUUGAAAGAAAAGCGUUCUCGACUCGGAAUCUCUGGCAUAAUAUGAAGUUUUCUUCCAUUUGAUCCUUCCUUCUUGUAAGUGUAAAAUGAAAAGUGAGCAGUGUUCAUGGAUGCUGGUCAGGUUAAUUCACGGUUGGCUUCAACAAGAUUUAAAUCCAUCUAACCAUCUUGCUAAUAUUUGUUUUCCUUCAGGCUAAAUUUGUCGAUGGAUUAUAUACCCAGCUUUGCAAUGAAAAUGGCUCAUCCCAACGAUUCUUCUUCUGUCUCUCAUUCCCUGCACAGCUUUUGGCGUUCAACGUCGUCUUGAUAAAACAUUUUUCAGACUUAAAAGCUACCAAUCACGAGGGAGCAACUCAGCAAUUGUGAGCAGUUGAAUCAACAACCAAUAGCCAAUCACAAGCUGCUGAGAAUGUGUUGCUUCUCCAUUCAGCCCUGAAAUCCAUAUGCUUUCGACAUGAUAGAGAGAGGUGUUGGGGAAGGUGAUUACGUAGAGGAAGAGGAGAAUAGGCCAUUUUUCUCCUUGGUCUCAUCUCUUUGUAUUUAGACUUUGAAGAUUAGGAUGACUGUUCCUUCAAUUUCUCUUGGUUCUUUUGAACUGGUUGGUUCUGAGUCCUGCACAUGUUCAUGUUUGUAAGUGACCCGUUUUACCAGAGAGGCAGAGACCAAUCUAAUAAGGAGAUAAUACUAUUUUAAGUGCUCCA